UUCCUUCCGGCGGGGAAUAGAACCCUGUCUCCUGCGUGACAGGCGGGGAUACUAACCACUAUACUACCGAGGA